UACGUAGGUGGCAAGCGUUGUCCGGAUUUAUUGGGUUUAAAGGGUGCGUAGGCGGUUUUGUAAGUCAGUGGUGAAAUACUCUAGCUUAACUAGAGGGGUGCCAAUGAUACUGCUGAACUUGAGUACAGAUGAGGUAGGCGGAAUUGACGGUGUAGCGGUGAAAUGCAUAGAUAUCGUCAAGAACACCGAUAGCGAAGGCAGCUUACUGGGCUGUAACUGACGCUGAUGCACGAAAGUGUGGGGAUCAAACAGG
rnacentral:rRNA from 1 species